GACGAACGCUGGCGGCGUGCUUAACACAUGCAAGUCGAACGGAAAGGCCCUGCUUUUGUGGGGUGCUCGAGUGGCGAACGGGUGAGUAACACGUGAGUCACCUGCCCUUGACUUUGUGAUAACUUCUGGAAACUGGGGCUAAUACCUGAUAGGUUCUCCUGCUGCUUGGUGGGGGUUGGAAAGUUUCGGCGGUUGGGGAUUGACUCGCGGCUUAUCAGCUUGUUGGUGGGGUAGUGGCUUACCAAGGCUUUGACGGGUAGCCGGCCUGAGAGGGUGACCGGCCAAAUUGGGAAUGAGAUAGGGAACAGACUCCAAAGGGAGGAAGCAGGGGGGAAUAUUGCAAAAUGGGAGGAAGCCUGAUGCAGAAACGCCGCGUGAGGGAUGACGGCCGUCGGGUUGUAAACCGCUUUAGCAUGUGACGAAGCGAGAGUGACGGUAAUGGGUAAAGAAGCACCGGCUAACUACGUG
rnacentral:rRNA from 1 species